UGACCCAUGGUGUAAUGGUAACACUACUGAUUUUGGUUCAGUCAUUUAUGGUUCGAAUCCAUAUGGGUCAA
rnacentral:tRNA from 2 species